UUAACCCUGUUUGCCUCAGUUUCCUAAUCUAUAAAAUGAUCUGGAGAAAGAAAUGGCAAACCACUAGAGUAUUUCUGCCAAUAAAACUCCAAAAGAAGAGUCAGAUACAACUGAAACAACAGAAUUACAACACCGUAUCAGGAACUAUGCUAUAUUCUGAGGAUACAAAUACAAAAAAGAAGGUAGUCCUUGUCAAUCUAAUAGUGAAAGAUAACACAUUCAGGGGGACAAUAGCCAAGGAGGGAUGUUUUGGUAGUUUUAAUUUGAUUAUUGUUUUCAGAGCCAAAGUUAGAAAGCAAGAGGGGAUGACAUGAAGGCAGAAAAUGGAGCACACUGAAGAUGUGUGAGGAACAGAGAAUAGGACUUUAUGGGUGGAUCAUAGAGUAUGUAGAGGUGAGUAUGUACAGGAUGAUACCAGGUGGUAAAGAGUCUUUCAUUUUAAAAAAGAGAAAUUUAUAUUUGAUUCUAGAAAUAAUAGAGAGCCAAUGUGCUUCAUUUGAUAGGAGAUUAAUAUAAGCUAUGAUUUAGAAAAUCAUCUUGUCAUUUCUGAGGAGGAUAAAAUGGAGUAGGGAGAGAGACUUGAGGCUAGGAAUGAAGGGUAUAAAGGAGAAUAUAAUAUUCCUUGGGAAGAAGUGUUUUUAUGGAGGAAACAAAAAAUGACUUGAAGAGGUAGAAGGAAAUUCUAACCUAUAACUAUUAGCAAAGUAAGAAUAUGACAUGAAAAAGGAAUGAAGGCCACUGGGUCUAGGAGCCCUGUUAUUUAGUCUAUUCUUAUAAGGGGUUGGGUGUGGGAUGGUCCUACACCAUCUCUAGAAGAAGCAUUUUUUUUUCUUAAAGCAUGAUGAUGCAGAACCACAGAGUCCAUCAGAUGAUGGGUUAUCCUAACAUGUUCAGAAAAAGACAAGGUAAAUAGCAGGUGCUAAUAAGUCUCUUCCAAGAGUUACUAAGUCAGCUAUUUUCUGGCCCAGCAUAAACAAGAGAGGUAUGCUGUCUUCUUGGGCUUUGCAUCUGGGACCUAAUAGAGAAUCUUCCCAGGCUUGUCAAUUUGAUGAUAACUGACCACUUCUGCUGACUCAUGUAGAGACAAACAUACCACCUAAAGGAACCUGAAAAGUCUUGUUAAGGAAUAUGAUGCCCUGAACAACAACAAAUGAAGGUUUUAAGGACAUGGAUUGUAUCUUCAUUAUUAAUGUCAAUUAAAGGUCACAUCUGAAAUUCUGUGUCUAGCUUGGGACAUCUCUCCUCAAAUGACAUGAAUGAGCUGGCAUAUGAAUUGGAUGGUGAGAGGAUUGGGAGCUAUUCCAUCUUUAUUUGGUUUCAACUUCAUAGAACAAGAUACCCCCCCCCCCCCCCAGAAUAAUCUGGUCACUUCAGAUCUUUCACCAUGCUACUAACUCAACCUUGGAUAUUCAACACCUUGGAUAUAUCCACCUCCCUCAGUCUUCUCUCCCCUCUGUUUGGAGGACUUGAUGGUGACGUGCUAAACUUCAUUCAAAACUUUUCUUUAUAAAGCACAAUCUUGGUCUUUGCAGCUCACUCCACUCUCCAUCUUCAGCUCUGCUUGGUUUCAACUCCAUGGAACAAGCUGCACCCUCACUGGGUACACCCUGGUGUCUAUUCCCUUUCUGGUUUCCUUUUGUGUGUUGUCUUCCUCCAUUGGAUUGUAAGCUCCUUAAGUGUAUAGACUGUCUUUCUUUUCCUAAUUUGUAUUCCCAAUGCUUAUUAUGGUACUUAGCAUAUAGCAGAUACUUAAUAAAUGUUCAUUGAUUUAAACUAAAAAGGGAAUCAGAGAGCUCAUUGAAAGGUA